rnacentral:lncRNA from 1 species
CCGGGGAGAGGCCAGCCCGGCCUACAGUGCGGACACAGGACAGAGGGGAGCCAGGUUCUUUGCACUGACCAAUGCUGAGAGCAGACCCUCGGAGCAGCCGGGUUGGAAGUGUCUCUCCAUAGUCACCAGACAGAUCCAGGAUAGGAUGGGCAGCCCAGUGCACCGAGUGUCAUUGGGGGAUACCUGGAGCAGGCAAAUGCACCCCGACAUAGAGAGCGAGAGGUAUAUGCAGUCCUUUGACGUGGAACGGCUCACCAACAUCCUUGAUGGAGGUGCCCAGAACACUGCACUCCGCAGGAAAGUUGAUCCAUGAAGCAAGUGGGUGAGAAGAUUUCAAGAGCCCUUUCUGGAGACGUGGCCUUAAAUAUACACAGAGUCUUCGUGAGAGCCCUCAGGAGCCUGGGCUCAGAGGAGCAGAUUGCCAAA